rnacentral:rRNA from 1 species
UCCUAGCUGUAAACGCUGCAGGCUUGGUGUUGGAGCUCCUUCGAGGGGUUCCAGUGCCGUAGCGAAGGUGUUAAGCCUGCUGCUUGGGGAGUACGGUCGCAAGACUGAAACUUAAAGGAAUUGGCGGGAGAGCACAGCAACGGGAGGAGCGUGCGGUUUAAUUGGAUCCAACGCCGGAAAACUCACCAGGGGCGACUGUUACAUGAAGGCCAGGCUGAUGACCUUGCCUGAUUUUCAGAGAGGUGGUGCAUGGCCGCCGUCAGUUCGUACCGUGAGGCGUUCUCUUAAGUGAGAUAACGAACGAGACCCUCGCCCCUAUUUGCCAUCCUUCUCUUCGGAGAUGGAGCACUAGUAGGGG